CUGAAUUGUCAACAAGAGUUGUUGCUGGUCCUCAAACAGGGGACAUGUGCACACUCUGUUCACACAUCCACUCACACCUGUGCACCCUCUGUAGUCCUACAUCGGGGGGACCUGUCCUCCUGCUGUGGUUCUGCGUUUUUACAUAUACACUGUAACAAAGUCUUAUGGGAUGUAUGCCGCGUUUAACGCAAUACAAUA
rnacentral:misc_RNA from 1 species